GACGGCCCCAGCUCUCCAGUAGAGGUGCUGUAGACGGCCCCAUCUCUCCAGUAGGAGGUGCUGUAGACGGCCCCAUCUCUCCAGUAGGAGGUGCUGUAGACGGCCCCAGCUCUCCAGUAGGAGGUGUGUAGACGGCCCCAGCUCUCCAGUAGGAGGUGCUGUAGACGGCCCAGCUCUCCAGUAGGAGGUGCUGUAGACGGCCCCAGCUCUCCAGUAGGAGGUGCUGUAGACGGCCCCAGCUCUCCAGUAGGAGGUGCUGUAGACGGCCCCCAGCUCUCCAGUAGAGGUGCUGUAGACGGC
rnacentral:lncRNA from 1 species